CGUACUUCGGAGUUUAGACCACAAGAAGUCGAUACCGCGGCGAAGAUGACUUUCAAGCGAAGGAACGGCGGUCGCAACAAGCAUGGCCGCGGUCACGUUAACUUCGUCCGCUGCUCCAACUGCGGAAAGUGCUGCCCCAAGUAACGCAACUCGCGGCUGUUAAUUUCUUCCGGAAGGACAAGGCAAUUAAGAGGUUCCUCGUGAGGCUUGUGCUUAUGAGGGUAAUCGCUCACUUUUCUUGCUUAUAAUCCUAAUCAGAAUACUGUUCCCUCCUCUUUGUGGUGCAACAUAUAUUGUGUUUUUACCUUAAUUCGUUACAUAUCUUAGGGUACCUUC